rnacentral:RNase_P_RNA from 1 species
AGAGUCGACCGGGCAGCCGCCGGCCGGCCACCCUCGCGGUGGUCUGCGGGAGGAAAGUCCGGGCUCCACAGGGCAGGGUGCCAGGUAACGCCUGGGGGGCGUGAGCCCACGGAAAGUGCCACAGAAAAUAUACCGCCACCCCGGCCGAGCGCCGGUGCGGUAAGGGUGAAAUGGUGCGGUAAGAGCGCACCGCGCCGCUGGUAACAGCGGUGGCAGGGCAAACCCCACCCGGAGCAAGACCGAAUAGGGGGGCAAUGGCGUUGCCCGCGUCGCCCCCGGGUAGGUCGCUAGAGGCGUACGGUGACGUGCGCCGUAGAUGAAUGGCUGUCCUCGACAGAACCCGGCUUACAGGUCGACUCUCGCA